rnacentral:rRNA from 1 species
UACGUAGGGGCCUAGCGUUGUCCGGAAUUAUUGGGCGUAAAGAGCUCGUAGGUGGUUCGGCAAGUCGGAUGUGAAAUCUCCACGCUUAACGUGGAGGGGCCAUUCGAAACUGCUGUGACUUGAGUCCUGGAGAGGGUCGUGGAAUUCCCGGUGUAGCGGUGAAAUGCGUAGAGAUCGGGAGGAACACCAGAGGCGAAGGCGGCGACCUGGACAGGUACUGACACUCAACUACGAAAGCGUGGGGAGCAAACAGG